UCCGCCGGGGGAGCUGGGGUGCCACGCGGGCCACGUGCGCCCAGGAGUACUUAGGUGGCGGCUGCCCGCAGGCAGUGGGGAGAGACCCUCUGUGGGCAGGGUCUUGCGCCGGAACCGCCAUUCCUCAGCCACAGGGGCGCCCGGUAUCUUUCUGUUUUAAAUCCUGAAACUAUUGACGCCCCAGGCUCAGACCGGUGUCUACAACCAGGCGUUGACACGUCAAAGAUAUUAUGAGGAAGAAGAUGAAACUCAAAGCUGCUUUGAAACAUGGCUUCUGCUUCCAAUGGUGACUACUGUCUGAUACCAAGCAACCUCUCCAUGGACCUGGAACCAACUCUUCCAGAUUAUUUCUACCAGCAGCGAGAUAGCUGAGCCAUGGCAAUGCGCACAAGCUAUCAUGGGCCCAGAAUAUGAUGCUACACCAACAAAAGAAAGAACCUGAUGUCAUCUAGUCCGAUACCAACUGUCCAGAGAAGUGUUGGGAUAUGUGUCUCACUGAAGGCCACACAGCCAUUAGGGGCAGUCAGAUCUCCUGGCAUCUGGGCCAGAAAAUAUCCUGAGCACUUCAAACAUCUUAACAAGAACAAGCUGACUAUUCAUAACCAGGAUCAAGUAAGCAGAUCCCUGGAGAGAUGCCCUUUCAACCCUCCAUCUCUGCUAAAUGCCUGUUGGAUCCCAGCAGUGGAGCCUGCUAGAUGGUUGGAUUUACUUAGAACAGACUAUUAUGAAGGUCUGUUAGGGUUGGUGAAAAGAAUUCUAGACAAAUCUUCCAGGUUAGAAGAUAAAUGACAGUUCUUCCCAAAGGUAUUCUCAUGAGAAAGCACAGCAACCAUCCUACAGAGGGUUAAUAGUCUCCCCCCUCUCCAACCCCCAACUUGCUGUCAGAGAUCAGCUAAUCUGAUAAUUACGGCAACAAACACAGUUUAGACAAACAAGACCUGACCCUGAGGGUUUGGAAUGAAAACAUUUACUCUCUCCCUCCCCAGAGAGACGGUGCCUGGAGCAUACACACAGAGAGACACUGGGAAAAUACCCUUGUGCUGGAGCAACAGGGUGAAAACAUCUGUGUUCCUGAGCUGCUUAGGAAGAUAAAGUUGCUGGGGAGGCAGCUCGGGUCCGGGAGGCAGGAGGAGCGGGGAGUGGUGCAGUCCAAGGGUGUGCAUGUUUGGAGCAGAUGGAAAAUGUACCCCCAUAACUGGAGAUGUAAGCAAAUUGUAAUUGAUUUUACAACAGAGACAGAGUGAGAGGAAAGGUACAAAGGAGACCGAUGCAGGAUUUGAGUGAAAACCUGGGGAGUGGCUAACAGAAGAGAAACAGCUUAAAACACCAAAGUAGGAUUUAUUCCCGAGAGCAAGAGGUAUUCACAGCGGUCUUGAUUCUAAGUGAAUUUAAUAUCUGCCUGCCAGUGAGGAGACCCAAGCUCUAAAAGUCUAAGCUGGCCAGUCAUCCUCUUCCCAUCCCCUAGUUUGGCUUCUAAACUGAACAACAUGCCCUUUCCCCAUCCCUGCCAGGCCUCAAAAAUUAUCAAGCAAUUUUUUCCCCUUUUACUUAUAAAAGCAGCUUCCUAGAAGAAAUCUUUCUGGGUUGCUGAAACCAGAGAUUCUGACUUGGAUCUGCCUCAACCUGGAAUUCCAACAGUUACUCCUUUCCCAACUCCAGCCUGAAGUUUCCCACACAUCCCCGUCCUAGCGGCCACACAUCAUUUCGGUUUUGCCCAUGACUGAGGGUGAGUCAGCCGGCAAACACUCCUCGCCCCUUAGGAUUCUCCAAAUUAGAUCUAGGCAUCCACAUCCUUGGGGCAUUUGCAGAUCACAUGUAUGGAUGCACCAAGCUAAGAGGAUAACUGCUGUGAUUGAUGAUAGGAUCAAGAUUUUAAAUGAAUUCCAUAAGCUGAAAGAUGGUCUCAAAUCAAUAAGAAUGCACCAGGAAAAAAUGCAAAGCACUGCAUUUAGACCCAACAAUCAAUUGCACAAAUAUAGGAUGGAAAAUAAAAUAUAGACCUAGAAAACAACAAUGUAUGAAAAAACAGACCAGUUCUUGUUCGGCAAUUGGCUCAAUAUGAGACAGCAAUGAAUCUAUGUGCUUAAAUAGUGAAUGUAAUCAUGUAGGCAUUAAUAAAAGUAUUGUGAUCACAUUAAUAGUUCCCUAUGUUCUUAACAAGGGAAAGGUAGGAUAGGACUAAACAAAUCUUUUUUUUUCUUCCAACUUUAGCUGUUGGCUGACCAAGUACAUGGAGUCCUGUAGGUUGUGCAGAGCAGUUUUGUUUUUUGUUUUGAUUUCAGGUUCAAGUCCCCUAUUGCAAUCUAUACAAGGUCCACCUUGGCAAUUGUGAGUGGCUCCCACAUCCUGUUUAUCCUGUUUAUCCCACUUGCUCCUGUGUGUUGAGGCUCACUUGGCUGCUCCUCUGCUGGUCUGUUGGAGAGUCCCCUAGUCCCAGAGAGAGACACCUCUUUCCAGACAGAACAGUCUUCUCACUGUUCCUCACACACACCAUGGUCGUUUGUUCGUUCAUAUAUCCAUGGAACAUCCACUGUGUGCCAGGCACUGUUCCAGGAACUGAGGAUUCAGUGGUGAACAGUAAAGACAGAGUCCUUGACCUCAUCAAGCUUCUAUGCUCAUGGAGGUAGGCAGGCUCGAAACAAAAACUUUAAAAUGUCAGAAAACAAGAAGGUAUGAGAAGUUACCUGGUACUUGAAAAGCCUUACACCCUCUGCCUAGACUUUUCAGAAUGUGACUUCCUGCUUCCUAACCCAGCUCAAGUUCCACUUUCCCCUUGGAGGCAGAGAACUCCUCUGAGCCAUCAUCCCGAACUGUUGCCCAGGGGCUUGUACCACAUAAUUUAGCACUCAACUGUGCUCUAAUUGUUUCCCUAAUGCCAAUUAUGCUUCCCCAACAGACUGUAGGAGACUGUUAACUCUUUGAGGUUAUAGGAUAUGCCUUCCAUUUAAAUAUAUUUAGUCAAGCUCUAGCUGGGAUGCUGUUUAGAGGGAAAUGAAAAGCACAGUUCAAACAUGACUUUAGGUUUUUAAGCCGAUUCCCAGAUAACAAGAGAACUUCUUCCUGUGCUCCCGAAAUCCUCUAAAAUAAGAAUGUAAAGUUAGGACAAUAGUUUGUUUAUUUGCUGAACUUACAUCCCCCAAAAAGUCCUAGACUCUGUAAGGAAAUCUUUAAAACAACAAACAUACCUUAAAUCGGGCAACAGCAAGAUUAGAGGGACUAGCAGGAGAGAAAUAUCCAACAAGCUCAGAGAGGGAGGAUAGGUAAGUACAAAAAAUGUCAAAUUCCAAAAAAUGCUUAGUUUAGAGUUUAGCCCAAACAAUAUUCUUCUGGGCCCCCUCACACUCUGUGGAAUCCAAGCAGGCCAAGAAAACCCAGAAACAAUACAAAUGUCAUCAAUAAAAGACUGGUUAAAGAAGUAAUGGUGCCUUCAUACUGUGGGCUGGUAUGUGGAAAAAAUAAAGUAGUUAAAGCUAUUUACACAGACAUAAAAAGUUUGAUCAUUAUAUAGUUUAAGAAGCAAGUCUCAGAGCAAUAUAGAUAAUAGAAUCCUUUCAAUUUAAAAACUGUAUGUAUAUAUGUGUGUGUGUGUGUGUGUAUACACACCAAAUUGUUUGCCAUGGAUAUUUCUGGUAAUGGGGUUACAGGUAAUAGGUUGGGGGAGACAGGUAGGAGAAUUUAACAACUUAUUUUUGCUUUAUAUAUUUGUGAAAUGUUAUAUAUCCUUCAUUUGUUUUAUUUAGAAUGAGCAUGUAUUGUUUUGAUAAAACAAUAAACAAC